GGCCUUUGCAGCAGCGCACUCCUUCCUGUUUGUGUCUUCGAUGAUGAUGUGGGUGAUCAAAUCUGAUAGAGACAUCUGUUUUUGUCUGUGCUUCAGUUGUUGUUUGUAAUCCGUCCAAGACUGCGGAAGCUUUUCGAUCAAGAGUUCAGACACGAAUUCAUCUGGCAAUUUUAUGCUUUCAGUUUUGAUAUCUUCAAUCAGCUUGUGAUAUUCGUUUAUUUGGAUUUUGAUGUCUUUGCCUUCGAUCAUCUCCCAGCGGUAGUAGUUUGCAAUUACGAACCUUU
rnacentral:lncRNA from 1 species